ensembl:piRNA 21ur-11627 ncRNA
UCUAACAGUUUUCUUUGGAUU